GAAGAGAAAGGAGAGCCGAUUGGGAUUCUGACUCGACGUUUCCAUUCGCGCUAUCCAAUGGCUAGGCGGGAGGAAGGUAAAAGCGAAAAGGAGAGGAGAAAAUUGAAAAACCGAUUCGUCGAGGGUCGGUUAGAAAUGAGAGGGUAAGAAAGAAGAAGAGAGUGAGAAAAAACGCAAGAGAAAAAAAGAGAGAAAGAGAGAGAGAGAGAAAGGGAGAGAGAGAGAUAGAAGAAAGAAAAGUUCGAAAAUGCUCUUUAUCUCCAUUCUCACCCCACUCGAUGUCGACGAACGCUCGUGAGGAUAACUGGAGAGGGAAGCACGACUCAACGCGAGUUAACGGUGAACUGACUGCCACUGACUCUCCUCCGGACGACGUAGCUACGGCCGAUGAAACCCGCGAAAAUCCGAGAUGGCAAGGUUCGGUUUUAAACAUGAUGGUCGAUGCCCUAUCUCUAAACCGCAUUAAGAUACUUACAUAUGUAUAUCUAAAGAUGAAAAGAAGAUAUAUUUUUUAAAAAAUAUUUAAAUGAUGUCAUAAAUAUUUAAAUUCACAUUGAAAUAAAACUAUAAUGGAUACUUCCUCAGAAUCUUUUUUAGUAGGUAUGUAUAUGUAUUCAUGUUUAAAAGCUGACAAGAUUAAGGUAUAUGCUUCAUUAUAAUCCGAUAUAAUAAAUAAUAAGUUCUCACCGUCAAAUAGAAAAAGAAAUCAAUUAACUCUUUGCGAUCAUAAUACUUUUUAGUAUAGAUAUCCGAUAAUUCGAUCGGAAUUAUUUUUCUUCGCACAUUGAGAGACAUAAAUUCAACCAAUUAUUGCUUUAUAAAACUCAUAAAAUUAAUUCUACUUAAAUGAAUUUUUAUAUUAUUAAUAUAAAAGUCUUAAUCUACAUUUUUGUAAUUCCUCUAAAACUUUUGUUAUUUUUGUUCAAUCCAGAUGAAUAAGACAAAAUUGUUCUUUAUGAUCCGACAGAAAGUUUAGGAUACUUAACUUGUGAAAAUAUUAGCUAUAAAACGUAUGAAUGAAAUAAUGGAAAUGCUCGACAUAGUUAUUACUUCGAAAAAAGAAGUAGAAAAAUUUUUAAAUCUUAGCUGUCAGUCAUGCUUGACGGUGGAAUAUAUUAGUUUUAAUAAAAGAUAUGGUUUAGUAUUAUAAUACAUAUUAUGUUUUAUGUUUUUCUUCUUGCUAGUAUAUUUUUCGAAAAAAUCCCCAAUGCGAAAAGUUCUGGUUUUCUGCUCCAAAUAUCGUAGUGAUAACCUGAUUCUCACCUUUGACCUAUUUUAUUUUUCUAUUAUCUAGAAUUUACUAAGCAUUCUUUGCUUCGUUCUCCGUCAUUCCGUCGUAGUAUAUGAAAUUUGCCAUUUAAUUGUUCUCCUCUAUCGGAAGUAGAUGGUCUACCGCAUAAUGUCAUAGAUCGAUCGCAAAAUUGCCCACCAGUUGGUCUACUAAUUGUCCUAGGAAUUUUAGAUUUGUGGUAGGAGUUAAAAUGCAUUACUGGAAUUAUCUCGACAUAGAACCAGGACGAUAAAAAAAAAAAGUUUAAUGGACGGAUAUCUCGGAUUUCGAACUGAAAAAGUUAAAUUACUAAACAAACAUCCUUAACAAAAUGUUUUGACCUACUUCAAAUAUGUUUCGCGUUACAUCAAGAAACAAAGUGGUACAGCUAAUCGAUGCCUCUUACUACUCAGACGGAAAUUCAAUAUAAUGAGUAUUAUAUAUACUUUAACGUGCUUACGAAUUGCAUCUCUCUAACAAUACACAAACUUCAAGAUACAUUAAAUCGGCUUUAAAUGAGCUAUAUCGUCAAAUAGUAUUAACAUGAAUGAACUUUUGUAUUGUCUAGUUUCUCGCUUGCAGAUAUCAUUCAAAUAGGUUCAAUCUAAAUGAUCGCCUCAAUGAUUUUCAAAAGUAUUCGAGACCAAGAGAUCGGUAAAAAAAGAUACAAAAGUGUAUUCUUACAGAAACGGUCCGUAUCUACAUACUUGUACAUGUAUACUAUAUACUUAUAUGAAUAUCUAGUACAUGGAUAUACAUAUGUAUAUACUCCACUUUCAACAUGAAAGACACUAAGAACAGAAUAGUUUUAUCGUUAACAACGCGUGAAAGAAGUUCCCUUUUCUCUGUCACGAAACAAUCUAUUUUUGCAUUAUCAUAUAAUAUAGAAUAAAAAAUUCUGCCGAAUUUGCGCUUGAAUUCUAGAUCUUAUUAAAACUACACAGCUUGACCCCGUAUUAUUAAUUGCAAGACGACAAGUAGUUGGUAAAGAGAGGUCUGUGAAAGAAAAGCAAAGAAGUGAGAAAAAGAAAGCCCUGUUUGUCCAAAGAAAAAUUACUCACUUAUGCACGUUCUUUUCACGAGCUUUAACAAAUUCGUAGACAAAUUCGUUCGUUUUCAAGCGUACGGCUUUUUAAGUUGAUAAAAUUCCAAUUAAUAUAUUAUGUUCUUUGUAAAACCUUAUGCACGAAAAUAUGUAUACAUAUCUC